rnacentral:tRNA from 1 species
GGGGAUUUAGCUCAGCGGCAUAAGCGCCUGCCUUGGAAGCAGGCCGUCGUGAGUUCGAUCCCCG